ACACCCCUGCCUCAGCGUCGGAG
rnacentral:rRNA from 1 species